CACUUUACCAUGUCCCAAGCUUCAGUGCAUUUAAAGGGAGAGACCCACAUUGGGGUGUUCCAGACAUCAUAAAAAACCCUGGGAAGACAACAUUUCCCAGCAUUCCAGUGAGGGAGGAGAGGAGGAACAGAGAGAAAGGAAAGGAAAGGGAAAUAGAGACGUCUGCCACCUGCUCUCCUGCUACUGUCAUCAUCAUACCUGUCAGAGCAGCAGCCAAGAAAAAAUGUGGCUGCAUGAAUAACAAUAGAAAUGGCCACAGAUUAUGAAACACAAAAAGCCAAGUAAGAUAUUCCUCAUGAUGGCAUUUCCUACAAAACAUGAAGCAGACAACAGCAGCAUCUAUUACAGAGACAUCUUACAGUGUGAUUAUUU